rnacentral:rRNA from 1 species
UGGGGAAUAUUGGACAAUGGGCGAAAGCCUGAUCCAGCCAUGCCGCGUGAGUGAUGAAGGCCCUAGGGUUGUAAAGCUCUUUUGUGCGGGAAGAUAAUGACGGUACCGCAAGAAUAAGCCCCGGCUAACUUCGUGCCAGCAGCCGCGGUAAUACGAAGGGGGCUAGCGUUGCUCGGAAUCACUGGGCGUAAAGGGUGCGUAGGCGGGUUUCUAAGUCAGAGGUGAAAGCCUGGAGCUCAACUCCAGAACUGCCUUUGAUACUGGAAGUCUUGAGUUCGGGAGAGGUGAGUGGAACUGCGAGUGUAGAGGUGAAAUUCGUAGAUAUUCGCAAGAACACCAGUGGCGAAGGCGGCUCACUGGCCCGAUACUGACGCUGAGGCACGAAAGCGUGGGGAGCAAACA